GGGUGUGAUCAUAUUAGUGUUAAUGCAUUAGAUCCAAAUAGAAAUUUGUUGUUAAGUGUACUUGGGCUAAAUCAGUAUUGGGAUGGAUGAAUUUUUGAGAAGCUCUAGUGUUUCACCCU
rnacentral:rRNA from 1 species